rnacentral:lncRNA from 1 species
CAGCCCCCUACACACCUUGAUCCUCAAGAUCAUUUGUAGCUGGUAAUUUGUUAGAUGAUGGUUGGGAGUUGUGCUGUGAAUUUGGUCCUGCUGGUGCAACUCUAUCUCCUUCAAUUAGUGAUCUCCUCCGAUACGUCUCGAGUGUUGAGGGAUCAAACCCUAACUUGCUUAGAAAAAGUUGGCUAUCAAAAUUCUUCUGAAUGGUACUUGGAGCACCAUGUUGAAGAAUGCGUAAUUCAGAUGUUUUGAAUAAAGAGAAGAAGAUGGUGAAAAUGAGUAGCGUUAGCGGUAUCCACUUAGCUGUUAAAUUAGCCAUGCACUCUUAAUUUAAUUAGGAAUAUAUAUAUAAUUAAGAAGUUGUAAUCUGAGAAAAUAAAUUGUAGUAGUGACUUUAAUUGCAUGGUAACUAAUUGCUUAUGUUCUUCCUAUUUAUAGGGCUUAAUUCGAA